rnacentral:rRNA from 1 species
UACGUAGGCAGCAAGCGUUGUUCGGAAUUACUGGGCGUAAAGAGUGUGUAGGCGGUGCUCUAAGUUUGUCGUGAAAUCUCCCGGCUUAACUGGGAGGGUGCGGCGAAAACUGGAGUGCUAGAGGGUGGGAGAGGAAAGCGGAAUUCCUGGUGUAGCGGUGAAAUGCGUAGAUAUCAGGAGGAACACCGGUGGCGAAGGCGGAUCUCUGGGCCAUUACUGACGCUGAGGAGCGAAAGCGUGGGGAGCGAACAGG